UGGGGGAUAUUGCACAAUGGGCGAAAGCCUGAUGCAGCGACGCCGCGUGGGGGAUGAAGGCUUUCGGGUUGUAAACCUCUUUCGCUAUCGAACAAGGCCCGCUUAGGGUGGGUUGAGGGUAGGUGGAGAAGAAGCGCCGGCUAACUACGUGCCAGCAGCCGCGGUAAUACGUAGGGCGCGAGCGUUGUCCGGAAUUAUUGGGCGUAAAGGGUUUGUAGGCGGCUUGUUGCGCCUGCUGUGAAAACGCGGGGCUUAACUUCGCGCGUGCAGUGGGUACGGGCAGGCUUGAGUGUGGUAGAGGUGACUGGAAUUCCAGGUGUAGCGGUGGAAUGCGCAGAUAUCUGGAGGAACACCGAUGGCGAAGGGAGGGCACUGGGCCAUUACUGACGCUGAGGAGCGAAAGCAUGGGUAGCGAAGAGG
rnacentral:rRNA from 1 species